GGGCCUGUGGCGCAACGGUAGCGCGUUGUAAGUAAACCAAUGAGAUCAUCUCAAACAUCAUAUUCUAACAAUUCCAAUAGCGACUCCAGAUCGAAAGGUUAUCGGUUCAAAUCCGGUCGGGCUCA